CCGCCUCCGAUCCUCCGCCGCGCUACCCGGGGGCGGGGCCGCCGCGGUCCCUGCAGACGGCGACCUUCAAGGGUUCAGAGCCGCCCAGAGAACCCGGUGAAAGGACCCACCAUGAUGGAGUUGCUGGGCUGCAGAACAGCGGCGAAGCUGAGUGCGUGAGGGCUGCUCGGUCCCUGAGAAGUUGGAAGUGACUAGGAGACCAUCUAGUUCUGAAGAUUUCACCCCUCCUUCUAUAAAAGAGAACACCUAACUUGUCAGCAUCAGGUUGUUGGAUAAGAGGAAGCUGUGGAGAAUGAAAGGCCA
rnacentral:lncRNA from 1 species